UGGGGAAUAUUGCACAAUGGGCGCAAGCCUGAUGCAGCCAUGCCGCGUGUAUGAAGAAGGCCUUCGGGUUGUAAAGUACUUUCAGCGGGGAGGAAGGGAGUAAAGUUAAUACCUUUGCUCAUUGACGUUACCCGCAGAAGAAGCACCGGCUAACUCCGUGCCAGCAGCCGCGGUAAUACGGAGGGUGCAAGCGUUAAUCGGAAUUACUGGGCGUAAAGCGCACGCAGGCGGUUUGUUAAGUCAGAUGUGAAAUCCUCGGGCUCAACCUGGAAACUGCAUCUAAUACUGGCAAGCUUGAGUCUCGUAGAGGGGGGUAGAAUUCCAGGUGUAGCGGUGAAAUGCGUAGAGAUCUGGAGGAAUACCGGUGGCGAAGGCGGCCCCCUGAACGAAGACUGACGCUAAGGUGCGAAAGCGUGGGGAGCAAACAGG
rnacentral:rRNA from 1 species